rnacentral:rRNA from 1 species
UGUAAGCGUAUACCAAAGUUGUUGCAGUUAAAACGCUCGUAGUCGGACGUUGGCGGGCGCGGCAAGUCUGCCUCACGGUUGUUCUUGCAGCGGCCGCCUUUGUGGAGGGGGGCUCGAUGGUGCUUCAUUGCCUCGUCGGGUCGCUGCCACCGUUUACUGUGAAAAAAUUAGAGUGUUCAAAGCGGGCGUUUGCCAUGAAUACAUUAGCAUGGAAUAAUAGAAUAGGACCUGGUCCUGUUUUGUUGGUUUGUGAGUAUCAGGUAAUGAUUAAGAGGGACGGUUGGGGGCAUUUGUAUUCCGGCGUCAGAGGUGAAAUUCUUGGAUUGCCGGAAGACAAACAGCUGCGAAANCGNNNGCCAAGGACGUUUUCAUNGA